GCCGGGCAUGGUGGCGCAUGCCUGUAAUCCCAGCUACUUGUGAGGCUGAGGCAAGAGAAUUGCUUGAGCUCAGGAGGCAGAGGUUGCAGUGAGCCAAGAUGGUGCCACUGCACUCCAGCCUGGGCGACAGAGUAAGACUUGGUCUCAA
ensembl:misc_RNA Metazoa_SRP Metazoan signal recognition particle RNA